UACGUAGGGGGCAAGCGUUGUCCGGAAUCAUUGGGCGUAAAGAGCGUGUAGGCGGCCCGGUAAGUCCGCCGUGAAAGUCCAGGGCUCAACCCUGGGAUGCCGGUGGAAACUGUCGGGCUAGAGUCCGGAAGAGGCGAGUGGAAUUCCUGGUGUAGCGGUGAAAUGCGCAGAUAUCAGGAGGAACACCAAUGGCGAAGGCAGCUCGCUGGGACGGUACUGACGCUGAGACGCGAAAGCGUGGGGAGCGAACAGG
rnacentral:rRNA from 1 species